rnacentral:rRNA from 1 species
UACGAAGGGGGCUAGCGUUGCUCGGAAUCACUGGGCGUAAAGGGUGCGUAGGCGGGUCUUUAAGUCAGGGGUGAAAUCCUGGAGCUCAACUCCAGAACUGCCUUUGAUACUGAAGAUCUUGAGUUCGGGAGAGGUGAGUGGAACUGCGAGUGUAGAGGUGAAAUUCGUAGAUAUUCGCAAGAACACCAGUGGCGAAGGCGGCUCACUGGCUUGGUAUUGACGCUGAGGCGCGAAAGCGUGGGGAGCAAACAGG